GAUGAACGCUAGCGAUAGGCCUAACACAUGCAAGUCGAGGGGCAUCACAUGAAGUAGCAAUACGGAUGGUGGCGACCGGCGCACGGGUGAGUAACACGUAUGCAACCUGCCUUCAACAAGGGGAUAACCCGUUGAAAGACGGACUAAUACCCUAUAACACAGGGGUCCCGCAUGGGAAUAUUUGUUAAAGGACAACCGGUUGAAGAUGGGCAUGCGUUCCAUUAGCUAGUUGGCGGGGUAACGGCCCACCAAGGCAACGAUGGAUAGGGGAACUGAGAGGUUUAUCCCCCACACUGGUACUGAGACACGGACCAGACUCCUACGGGAGGCAGCAGUGAGGAAUAUUGGUCAAUGGACGCAAGUCUGAACCAGCCACGUCGCGUGAAGGAAGACGGCCCUACGGGUUGUAAACUUCUUUUAUACGGGAAUAAAGUGCCCCACGCGUGGGGUUUUGCAUGUACCGUAUGAAUAAGGAUCGGCUAACUCCGUGCCAGCAACCGCGGUAAAUCACACUACA
rnacentral:rRNA from 1 species